rnacentral:rRNA from 1 species
AUGGUGAUGAUGCAUGGGCCGGGAGCCGCCGGGCUGCUCAUCAGCCGUGCGGCGUUCGAAGCCUUCCCCAAGCUCUACUACUACCUGCUCCGCACGUACGGACCCGCCGCGGCCGUGUUCGUGUUCCGUCACCUCCCCCAGUGCCUGAUCUCGAUCUUGGCUUUUAUUUUUGGUAUGUGA